rnacentral:lncRNA from 1 species
ACAUGUUAAAAUGACGUAAGGCUCAAAAAUAUCACUAGAAUAUAUAUCAUACAUGAUUACAAAGGUGUGACGAUCUGAAAACGGUAUUGUGUUUACAAGCAUCCAAUGCUUAUAAAUCACCAAAGUAGACCUAUCUUGCGAGAACUUGGCGUUGCGAAAGGCCAACCUCAGAGAGAUCGGUGAACAAGUCAUCACUUUUACACAACGCAUACACAAUAUCCACCAUACUAGGUCUCCUUGAAGGAUCCCUAUGUAAACUAGCGAUCGCAAUUGACAUGACAUUCAUAACACUAUCGAUUGAGCACGAUUCCCUCAAAAUAGCAUCAUCGAUGAAAGCUUUUAGCUUAUGUUUUAGUUUUUCGUCAUUUCCAUUGAAAUUUUCAUAGACUUCUACCCAUAACGCCUUCCCCUGGUCAUUGACGGCUUCCCUCCCAGAAAUGAGCUCAAGUAAAAUGACCCCAAAUGAGAAAACGUCCAUCUUAGUAGAGACAAUUCCAUCAGAUAAAUACUCGGGAGCAACAUAUCCUUGAGUUCCCACAAUAUGUCUGGUCAUAGCGUUGCAUCCCGAUUUAGCUAGCCCAAAAUUGGCAAUCUUGGCUCUCAUUUGUGCAUCCAAGAGAAUAUUGCUACUCUUGACAUCUUUAUGCACGACUCGUGGUAUUGUGUGUUCGUGAAUAUACUGAAGACCAUUAGCUAUAUCAACUGCGAUUCUUAGUCUCCUUCUCCAACUUAACCUCUCUGUCUUGCUAUCACGCAGCCUUGUAUAAAGAGAUCCAUUUUCAAGAUACUCGUAAACUAGAUAACAAUUUGAAUCGUCGGUAUCUAUACAAAAUCCUUCCAACAUCACUAAAUUGCCAUGUGAUGUACCUUUUGCAAGAUCUUGAGUUCUUC